AUACACCAGCAGUAGGACUCAGCGACCGUCACAACAAGGUUGUGCUGGUAUCCGACGGUCGUAUAGCCCUGUCUUGCAGGUUGCCUUGCACUGACGUGCCGCGC
rnacentral:ncRNA from 12 species